GUGAGUCAUCGAAUCUUUGAACGCACCUUGCGCUCUUUGGUAUUCCGAAGAGCAUGCCUGUUUGAGUGUCAUUAAAUUCUCAACCCAUUUCAUUUGUUUAUCAAGUGAAGUGUGUGUUGGAUGUGGGGGUUGCGGGCUUUCAUUCAGUUGAAGUCGGCUCUCCUGAAAUGCAUUAGCGGAAACCUUUGUUGGACCGCUUCUAUUGGGUGUGAUAAUUAUCUACGCCUAGGAAGCGCGAAAGCACUUGGGUUCAAUUUUGAACCGGGGUUUUGCUUCUAAUCGUCCAUUCACUUGGACAAU
rnacentral:misc_RNA from 1 species